rnacentral:rRNA from 1 species
AGGAAGGGUGGGGAUGACGUCAAGUCCUCAUGGCCUUUAUGACCAGGGCUACACACGUACUACAAUGGCCGAUACAAAGGGCAGCGACACUGCGAGGUGAAGCCAAUCCCGUAAAAUCGGUCUCAGUCCGGAUUGGAGUCUGCAACUCGACUCCAUGAAGUUGGAAUCGCUAGUAAUCGUGGAUCAGCAUGCCACGGUGAAUACGUUCCCGGGCCUU